UCGCCGCGUUGGAUAUUCUACUAU
rnacentral:siRNA from 1 species